GAUGAACGCUGGCGGCGUGCCUAAUACAUGCAAGUCGAGCGAACAGAUAAGGAGCUUGCUCCUUUGACGUUAGCGGCGGACGGGUGAGUAACACGUGGGUAACCUACCUAUAAGACUGGGAUAACUUCGGGAAACCGGAGCUAAUACCGGAUAACAUUUGGAACCGCAUGGUUCUAAAGUGAGAGAUGGUUUUGCUAUCACUUAUAGAUGGACCCGCGCCGUAUUAGCUAGUUGGUAAGGUAACGGCUUACCAAGGCGACGAUACGUAGCCGACCUGAGAGGGUGAUCGGCCACACUGGAACUGAGACACGGUCCAGACUCCUACGGGAGGCAGCAGUAGGGAAUCUUCCGCAAUGGGCGAAAGCCUGACGGAGCAACGCCGCGUGAGUGAUGAAGGGUUUCGGCUCGUAAAACUCUGUUAUUAGGGAAGAACAAAUGUGUAAGUAACUGUGCACGUCUUGACGGUACCUAAUCAGAAAGCCACGGCUAACUACGUG
rnacentral:rRNA from 1 species